UACGUAGGGUGCAAGCGUUAAUCGGAAUUACUGGGCGUAAAGCGUGCGCAGGCGGUUAUGUAAGACAGGGGUGAAAUCCCAGGGCUUAACCUUGGAACUGCAUUUGUGACUGCAUAGCUAGAGUACGGUAGAGGGGGAUGGAAUUCCGCGUGUAGCAGUGAAAUGCGUAGAUAUGCGGAGGAACACCGAUGGCGAAGGCAGCCCCCUGGGCUAGCACUGACGCUCAGGCACGAAAGCGUGGGGAGCAAACAGG
rnacentral:rRNA from 1 species